rnacentral:rRNA from 1 species
UACGAAGGGGGCUAGCGUUGCUCGGAAUCACUGGGCGUAAAGGGCGCGUAGGCGGCGUUUUAAGCCGGGGGUGAAAGCCUGUGGCUCAACCACAGAAUGGCCUUCGAUACUGGGACGCUUGAGUAUGGUAGAGGUUGGUGGAACUGCGAGUGUAGAGGUGAAAUUCGUAGAUAUUCGCAAGAACACCGGUGGCGAAGGCGGCCAACUGGACCAUUACUGACGCUGAGGCGCGAAAGCGUGGGGAGCAAACAGG